AAUUAAAAAAAUUAUAUUUUUUAAAAUCGUAAAUUUUCAUAAAAACAAUAUCUCUGAGUCUUGUAACUGAAAUGUUUUUCUGUCUUUUUUGUUAAACUUAUGAGCAUACUGUGUGUUGGUUUUGCUUACUGAUUAAUCAUGUUUCAUGUGUGUGUUUCUUACUUUAACAGGUUUGGUUUAAAGGAAGAUGGCAAGCGGUAGCUUGAAAAGCCUUGUAACUUCAGCAGUGACUAUAGGCAUGACUGAAGCAAGGGCGAGCAUCUUUGGACAUAUGCUUAAACCCAACAGGACAGAGAUCUCCUCAUAAAAUUUUAAGGAAGAAGCUUUUUGGUGAUAAGGUUGCAGAGUGGUAUCCAUACGACAUCACGAAUGAGGAUCCUAAUGUCUUGGCUAGAGAAGAAAAGAGCGCUUAUCGAAGCUUGAGAUGCUGAAGCGUCGUGACAAAGUACCACCAAGGAAGGGUAACGGAAGACGCGCUGCCAAGCGUAAUAAGUAGUAACGGUCCGUAGCUUCCAAAAUAAAAAAAAAUCUGCAUUUUUAGAAUCAGAUUCUUCUGGUUAAUUUCAGAUUGAGCUUACUAGUAAAGUCCUCUCUACAUAAAUAUAACAUCUUUAAACUUCAUUGUUGUACAAUAUGCUGAGAUCACAAAGUUGAAAGCUAUUUGCUUCCCUUUUAACUU